AGUGAACGCUGGCGGUAGGCCUAACACAUGCAAGUCGAACGGCAGCACAGUAAGAGCUUGCUCUUACGGGUGGCGAGUGGCGGACGGGUGAGGAAUACAUCGGAAUCUACUUUUUCGUGGGGGAUAACGUAGGGAAACUUACGCUAAUACCGCAUACGACCUACGGGUGAAAGCAGGGGAUCUUCGGACCUUGCGCGAUUGAAUGGGCCGAUGUCGGAUUAGCUAGUUGGCGGGGUAAAGGCCCACCAAGGCGACGAUCCGUAGCUGGUCUGAGAGGAUGAGCAGCCACACUGGAACUGAGACACGGUCCAGACUCCUACGGGAGGCAGCAGUGGGGAAUAUUGGACAAUGGGCGCAAGCCUGAUCCAGCCAUACCGCGUGGGUGAAGAAGGCCUUCGGGUUGUAAAGCCCUUUUGUUGGGAAAGAAAAGCAGCAGGUUAAUACCCCGCUGUUCUGACGGUACCCAAAGAAUAAGCACCGGCUAACUUCG
rnacentral:rRNA from 1 species